rnacentral:misc_RNA from 1 species
CCACAAACAUCAUGAGAGCUGCGCAG